CCUACGGGAGGCAGCAGUGGGGAAUAUUGGGCAAUGGAGGAAACUCUGACCCAGCAACGUCGCGUGCAUGAUGAAGGUCCUCGGAUUGUAAAGUUCCUUUCUAAGGGAAGAAGCAAGUGACGGUACCUUAGGAAUAAGCCUCGGCUAACUACGGGCCAGCAGCCGCGGCAAUACGUAGGAGGCGGGCGUUAUCCGGAAUGACUGGGCGUAAAGGGUGCGUAGGUGGUUUGGCAAGUGAGCCGGGAAACUCCAAGGCUCAACCUUGGAACUACUACUAAAACUGUUGGACUUGAGUGCAGGAGAGGCAAGCGGAAUUCCUAGUGUAGCGGUGAAAUGCGUAGAUAUUAGGAAGAACACCGGUGGCGAAGGCGGGUUGCUAGACUGUAACUGACACUGAGGCACGAAAGCGUGGGGAGCAAACAGGAUUAGAUACCCCGGUAGUC
rnacentral:rRNA from 1 species